UACGGAGGGUGCGAGCGUUGUCCGGAAUCACUGGGCGUAAAGGGCGCGUAGGCGGUCUGCUAAGCGUGCGGUGAAAGCCUGGGGCUCAACCCCAGGUCUGCCGUGCGAACUGGUGGACUAGAGCACUGUAGAGGCAGGUGGAAUUCCGGGUGUAGCGGUGGAAUGCGUAGAGAUCCGGAAGAACAUCGGUGGCGAAGGCGCUCUGCUGGACCAUAACUGACACUCAGGGACGAAAGCUAGGGGAGCGAAUGGG
rnacentral:rRNA from 1 species